AGCACCGGCUAACUACGUGCCAGCAGCCGCGGUAAUACGUAGGGUGCAAGCGUUAUCCGGAAUUAUUGGGCGUAAAGGGCUCGUAGGCGGUUCGUCGCGUCCGGUGUGAAAGUCCAUCGCUUAACGGUGGAUCUGCGCCGGGUACGGGCGGGCUGGAGUGCGGUAGGGGAGACUGGAAUUCCCGGUGUAACGGUGGAAUGUGUAGAUAUCGGGAAGAACACCAAUGGCGAAGGCAGGUCUCUGGGCCGUUACUGACGCUGAGGAGCGAAAGCGUGGGGAGCGAACAGGAUUAGAUACCCUGGUAGUCCACGCCGUAAACGGUGGAUGCUGGAUGUGGGGCCCGUUCCACGGGUUCCGUGUCGGAGCUAACGCGUUAAGCAUCCCGCCUGGGGAGUACGGCCGCAAGGCUAAAACUCAAAGAAAUUGACGGGGGCCCGCACAAGCGGCGGAGCAUGCGGAUUAAUUCGAUGCAACGCGAAGAACCUUACCUGGGCUUGACAUGUUCCCGACAGCCGUAGAGAUAUGGCCUCCCUUCGGGGCGGGUUCACAGGUGGUGCAUGGUCGUCGUCAGCUCGUGUCGUGAGAUGUUGGGUUAAGUCCCGCAACGAGCGCAACCCUCGCCCUGUGUUGCCAGCACGUCAUGGUGGGAACUCACGGGGGACCGCCGGGGUCAACUCGGAGGAAGGUGGGGAUGACGUCAGAUCAUCAUGCCCCUUACGUCCAGGGCUUCACGCAUGCUACAAUGGCCGGUACAACGGGAUGCGACACGGCGACGUGGAGCGGAUCCCUGAAAACCGGUCUCAGUUCGGAUUGGAGUCUGCAACCCGACUCCAUGAAGGCGGAGUCGCUAGUAAUCGCGGAUCAGCAACGCCGCGGUGAAUGCGUUCCCGGGCCUUGUACACACCGCCCGUCAAGUCAUGAAAGUGGGUAGCACCCGAAGCCGGUGGCCUAACCCUUUGUGGAUGGAGCCGUCUAAGGUGAGACUCGUGAUUGGGACUAAGUCGUAACAAGGUAGCCGUACCGGAAGGUGCGGCUG
rnacentral:rRNA from 3 species